UUAGCAGGGGAUAACAUUUGGAAACAAGUGCUAAUACCGUAUAAUACCAACAACCGCAUGGUUGUUGGUUGAAAGAUGGUUCUGCUAUCACUAAGAGAUGGACCCGCGGUGCAUUAGCUAGUUGGUAAGGUAACGGCUUACCAAGGCAAUGAUGCAUAGCCGAGUUGAGAGACUGAUCGGCCACAAUGGGACUGAGACACGGCCCAUACUCCUACGGGAGGCAGCAGUAGGGAAUCUUCCACAAUGGGCGCAAGCCUGAUGGAGCAACGCCGCGUGUGUGAUGAAGGGUUUCGGCUCGUAAAACACUGUUAUAAGAGAAGAACGGCACUGAGAGUAACUGUUCAGUGUGUGACGGUAUCUUACCAGAAAGGAACGGCUAAAUACGUGCCAGCAGCCGCGGUAAUACGUAUGUUCCAAGCGUUAUCCGGAUUUAUUGGGCGUAAAGCGAGCGCAGACGGUUAUUUAAGUCUGAAGUGAAAGCCCUCAGCUCAACUGAGGAAUGGCUUUGGAAACUGGAUGACUUGAGUGCAGUAGAGGAAAGUGGAACUCCAUGUGUAGCGGUGAAAUGCGUAGAUAUAUGGAAGAACACCAGUGGCGAAGGCGGCUUUCUGGACUGUAACUGACGUUGAGGCUCGAAA
rnacentral:rRNA from 1 species